rnacentral:rRNA from 1 species
UACGUAGGGCGCGAGCGUUAUCCGGAAUUAUUGGGCGUAAAGAGCUCGUAGGCGGUUUGUCGCGUCUGCCGUGAAAGUCCGGGGCUCAACCCCGGAUCUGCCGUGCCGACUGUCAAACUCGAGGACUGUAGAGGCAGACGGAAUUCCGGGUGUAGCGGUGGAAUGCGCAGAUAUCAGGAGGAACACCGGUGGCGAAGGCGGAUCUCUGGGCCAUUACUGACGCUGAGGAGCGAAAGCGUGGGGAGCGAACAGG